AUCUAGCUGAUGGAUCCCAAAUAGGAUUAAACGCUCGUUCUAGAU
rnacentral:hammerhead_ribozyme from 1 species